rnacentral:lncRNA from 1 species
UAAAGAAGGAUAGAAAAACAAAUGAUGGUUAAGUUAAAGACAUGUUGGGUGGAAGAUUAGGUUUGGUGGAGUGAUGUUGAAGAAUGCUGGCGUGAUGAUCGGAGGAGAGUAAGAAAAGAAACAGGUUUUAAACUUUUUUGACUUUUUUUUUUUUUUAGUGGUUUGAAUAUCUGACUUAUACUUUGAGAUUCCAAAUCCAAAAAAUAAGAACGUCAGUCAGUCUUCUUGUUUAUUUUUCUUUUUCAAUUAGGUUACAGCCACCAGCUAGCAAGGAGCAACCGCCAGUCCUAGCCAACUCUAGCCGCUUCCAAUAAUACCCCAUGCGUGGCUCCUUUUUUUAUGCUCUCUGUCUGUCUCCAUCAGCCAAUUCCAAUCUCUCUCUCGUGUCCGGCUCCUACCUCCAUGACUGUCUUGUUGUGGUAUUUUAGUUACACGACCUAAACUGGAUAAGAACAAAAGGCUUGGGGUCCAAAAUUGGACUGAACCAAUUCUACUGUGGCUGCAGUCUUCGAUUCGAACUUUGGAGGCAUGUCGGAUUAUAUACAGUUGAUGAAUUAUUUGUGUUCUAAAUGCUAUAGAAUUUCGAGACCCGAAUACAAUACAUUAGUGGGCUUCAGUUUUGGGCUUGGACGGGUGACUUAUCGGGUUCAAUUUCCAUUCUCUUAACUUCCCACACAUUUUUUUAAUUGAUUUUCUGCUUUUUAAAAAAAUUAAUUCAAUGGUCUAAUUUUAUUUUUAAUACGUAUGUAUGUUAGUUAUUUCUAACAUGUAUGUAUUUAUUGUGAAAACACGAAAUUAUACACAAAACUAAAUAUAAUUGAAUGUGAAAACAAGAUAGUUGUGGAAGUGCAACGAUGUAUGCCACUUAGGCAUCCUAAUAGACUAAUAGACUUGAAUCUUGUUCCUUCAUGAUCUGAUCAAUUCGAUCAACUCUUUGAUAACAUGAAAAAAUCAAAAGCUAUAUCCUUUCUCUUUAUCUAUUAAAGAGAUGGAAUGGCCGAGACCUUUGGUUCAAC